UGCUCUCUCUCUAAAAAAUCAAUAAAAACAUAAAAAAAUAAAUUUACAAGCCAGGGACAAAGUAACUCUGUAUUUAUCCCAGCUUGGCUUUUAAUCUAUGUCAUGCCUGGUUCAUGCCCUGAACACCUGG
rfam:Myotis lucifugus cont2.17931, whole genome shotgun sequence.